UUUGGGGAUCCUACGGGAAACCUCUUGCAAAUUCAUACUCAAUCUUAAGGUUUAAUCUAUAAACAAGUUUUAUAGCCUAGAUCUUAGAGAGUAAUCAAUUUUUAACAAAACCUCCCUUAGAUUUUGUGACCAUUUUUCAACAACUCAUCUUAAUCUAUGAAUCUCAGAUUAUUCAUCAGGGAUUAAAGCUCUUUGGGUGUUUUUGAACAUUUGCACUCAAUCUUUGAGAUUUCUUCAAAACAAGUGAUCAACCAAACAGCCCCUGAUUAUGUGUGUAGUGGCGCACACCACAACUCCAUGGCGCACGCCACUACCUUGAUAGCCAAACAACUUUAAGCUAUUCUUUGGGUUAUGGUCUAGGAAAGCCUGCACGCCACAAGAGAUAUGGCUCAUCACAUAACAGGUGGCGCAUGUGGCUUUAAUCCAGAAGCUCAGAUUUUACUUUUUAAGCAUUUUAAUUCAUCUCUAUGGGACUUUUUUUUAGAUCUAACACUAAGCAUUAUGCUUCUUAUAGUGUUUUUGAUUCAUUUUCGCUCUUAUAAACAAUAAUAACCAAGAAAUGGAUUGUUAUAGUCAUA